rnacentral:rRNA from 1 species
GAUGAACGCUGGCGGCGUGCCUAAUACAUGCAAGUCGAGCGAACGGACGAGAAGCUUGCUUCUCUGAUGUUAGCGGCGGACGGGUGAGUAACACGUGGAUAACCUACCUAUAAGACUGGGAUAACUUCGGGAAACCGGAGCUAAUACCGGAUAAUAUUUUGAACCGCAUGGUUCAAAAGUGAAAGACGGUCUUGCUGUCACUUAUAGAUGGAUCCGCGCUGCAUUAGCUAGUUGGUAAGGUAACGGCUUACCAAGGCAACGAUGCAUAGCCGACCUGAGAGGGUGAUCGGCCACACUGGAACUGAGACACGGUCCAGACUCCUACGGGAGGCAGCAGUAGGGAAUCUUCCGCAAUGGGCGAGAGCCUGACGGAGCAACGCCGCGUGAGUGAUGAAGGUCUUCGGAUCGUAAAACUCUGUUAUUAGGGAAGAACAUAUGUGUAAGUAACUGUGCACAGCUUGACGGUACCUAAUCAGAAAGCCACGGCUAACUACGUG